UUAAUGGCGGUUUCUGCAGGGGAUUUAGCCUUUGCCUCUUUCUACAUCCCUUGCCGCCUUUACUUCCACUCCGGUGACGGUCUCCGAUUUAAAAGAUGAACAAGGAAACACCACCUCCAGCUCCUUCACCCAGAAAUUCGCCUACAGUCGAGCCUCCCCCGCCGUCCGAUGGACCUCCGUGAGACAUAUGACCCCACAACUCCAACCCAAUCUCAUCCUCUCCCUCCUCCGGUUUCUCCGAUCGCCGAUACGCCGGAUUCCGGCGAAUUCAUCGAUUCCGUUCCCUCCAGCGACCACCAAAAGGCGAACGAAGAUGAACAAGGUCGCGCUGAUAAGAGCCAAGGACUGGAGGGAGAGAGUCAAACUCCUAACGGAUAAGAUCCUAACCCUUAAACCUAACCAAUUCGUCGCUGAACAUUCUCGACGCUCGCCUCGUUCAGAUGACUCCCACCGAUUACUGCUUCGUCGUGAAAUCCGUCGGCGCCGUGAGCUGCCAACGAGCUCUCGAGGUUUUCGAGUGGCUCAACCUCCGCCACUGGCACUCUCCCAACGCGCGCAUGGUAGCGGCCAUUCUCGGCGUUCUGGGCCGGUGGAAUCAAGAAUCUCUCGCGGCGGAGAUUUUCGCUAGAUGAUGGGAGUUUGUUCGCUCGGUGGGAAGUUCACGAAAGCGCAGGAGGUGCUCGACGAAAUGCCGAUGAGAGGGAUUGUUCCUGAUUUGAUCAGUUUCAAUACAUUGGUCAACGCUAGGGUCAAAUCCGGUGGGUUGACUCCGAAUCUAGCCGUUGAGUUAUUAGAUAUGGUGAGGAACUCUGGUCUUAGGCCUGAUGCUAUCACUUACAACACGCUUCUCAGCGCGUGUUCGAGGGAUUCGAAUUUGGAAGGGGCUGUGUAUUUUUUCGAGGACAUGGAAGCGCCUGACUUGUGGACUUACAAUGCUAUGAUCUCUGUUUACGGAAGAUGCGGGCUUACUGCAAAAAACUGAGAGUCUCUUCGCGGAGCUGGAGCUUAAAGGCUUCUUCCCUGAUGCGGUUACUUAUAAUUCUUUGCUCUAUGCUGUUGCUAGAGAGAGGAAUACGGAGGAGGUGAAGGAGGUUUACGUGGCGAUGCAGAAAAUGGGGUUUGGGAAAGACGAGAUGACUUACAACACGAUUAUUCACAUGUAUGGGAAGCAGGGCCAGCUUGAUCUCGCGCUGAAGCUUUAUAAGGACAUGAAAGGGUUGUCUGGUAUCAAACCCUGAUGUUAGACGCUAAUGUCAAGUUGCAGCAUUAUAGAAUUAUAGAAUACUCAUAUAAAGUUGGAGGCUUUAUGCCUUUCUUGUUUAUAAGUAGCUAACUUUUGCAAACUUGUCCUUCUUAAUGUAUACACAAAAGUGUGUCAUCUUUCGAAACAGUUAUGGUUAAACUGCUUAACAUGGAAGAGUAAUAAUCUUUGAGGUUGAACCUUAUCAUAUAUAAUUAAUUAUUUAUCAGCUAGUGUAGGUUUGAGGUUGAAGCUUAUCUUUGAGGUUGAGUCAGGGUUUCUUCCUCUGUACACAAACCAUGGCAUAGGUCUCACUACUACUUGGAGCCCACUUGCUUCCGGUGUGCUCACUGGUAAAUACAACAAGGGAUCUAUUCCUUCGGACAGCCGAUUUGCAUUGGAGAACUACAAAAGGAAUCCUUUUGUUAUUGCUCUUUGGUCAUAACUGUUUUCUCAACUGCAUCUAAGACAUCGUUACUGGUUUUAACUUGUUUUGUAGAACCUUGCCAAUAGAUCACUUGUGGAUGACGCGGGUGCGGAGGAAAGUCAGCGGUCUCAACCCUAUUGCAGAUGAGCUACGUGUGACCUUGGCUCAGCGUGCCAUCGCAUAGCCUGCUUCAAAUCCUAGUGUGUCAUCUGUUAUCACCGGUGCCACAAGGGAGUCACAGAUUCAAGAAAACAUGAAGGCUGUUGAUGUGAUCCCAUUGUUGACGCCACAUGUUCAGGACAAGAUCGAGCAAGUGAGAUCUCUCUUGUCCUAUUGGAUAGGUUUCAGAAAGAGAGAUCAUUUGGAGCUCUGGGGUGUUUUUACUUUGAUGUUGUCUUUGUGUUGUUCUCAUGCAUAUUUAAAACUCGAGGCAGAAGUGAAUGGCGGGAAAUAGGAGUGCAGCAAAGCCGUGGAUGGGUCCAUCACGCUAUUCAUCGCCCUGAGCCACACAUCAUGCUCUUCCGGAGGACUCUCAACUACCAACCUCCAAAUCCCAUACCUAAGUAGUAGAAUUUAUAUGCACCAACCCAUCAUUCUCUCUAUACCUAUUUGGUUUAUGUCUCUCGUAAACAAACCACCCUCUGUUACAUUCCCCCGUGGCUCUUUUUAUUUAUUUAUUUGUGUUCAUGAACUCUCUUCAGUGGAGAAAUGUUUGAGUGGUAGAAGACCACUUUAUUAUGUUUGGCA